AGGGUUUCGAGGUAGAACACACAAAAAUAGACAAGAAAUUGGAAAAAUUAGCCAAGAAGUAGCCAACUUGAGUUAAGGGCAGUAAAAGUAGCCAGAAGUA
rnacentral:lncRNA from 1 species